rnacentral:lncRNA from 10 species
AACCAUUCAUUUUAUUUCCUGUAUUGGGUUUAUACAAACUUGCAAGAUACAAAUGCAGAACUCACUGGGAUUCUUCAGUACCUAAAUCUAAAAAGAAUGCUGCUGAAAGGGGGAAGCAAACUCUCACCUGUUUCAGUCAGGCCAUCCCUCCUCCUGGGGAGGGGGCUCAUUGGCUAGAAAGAUGCUAAGGGGAUGCUACAGCUGUUUGUCCCCUGACAGAGAUUCCAUCUAUCUAACCUUCACCCUUCUUCUAAGGCCACUUUUAUGCUAAAUAAAGACACUGAGAUAAUAAAUUUCCUUGUACAGUUUAUUGUCUAAUACUAGCAAAUCAAAUUGGCCCCAAUAUGUGCAUAAAUAGAUAUACGUGUGUGUGUGUGUGUGUGUGUAUAUAUAUAUAUAUAUAUAAUGUGUGUGUAUAUCAUAUUUUUUCUUAGUUUUAAGAGCUGCCAGGUAGAGGGUGCCUAAAGGGGAAAGGAAUUGGUUCCCUCUUGCCGUAGCCAGCCCUGCCCAAGAACAUGCCUCUCCCAAAGGCCGGAGAGCAAGUGUGCCACUUGUGCCCUUAGAAAAUCUUCAAAGUGACAGUAGCAGUAUUUGACUGCAGCCUCUUGGUUAUUGAUCAUGGAGGUAAUGUGCUCAUUGAGAAGGCCCUGGAUGAAUAAUCAGAGCUUCCCCAGGUGGGUCACUUAGCUCUGGACCCCCAUCUGGGCUCUGUUCAUUCAGAGCAGGAUGUUCUAGGCUGGCGACAGGGUGUCAGUAAAUGCCCCAGGUGGGAGGCCAGGCUUCAAACGCUGGCCAGGAGCUCUGCUCUAGAUUCCCAAGCCCUUGAUUUCAGACCUAGACAAAGACUUCCAUCCUGCCCAAAUCCUUGCAAGGCCAGAGACCCUUUCCCCACUUUGAUGGUUGACAAAGGCUAAGCAGCUUGGAAGGCUGAUGAAGAGGGGUAGUCUAGCAGCCCAUCUGGGGUGCAUGCCUGCAUGGGUCUCCUUUGUGCAUACAACUGCAAACAGUUCCUUCCAGAGGAUUCACGCCUGACAACCGCAGAGGGUCAUCAGGAGCAGACAGUGUAAUAAAAUCCUUAGGCCAGGACUUCCGAGGGAAUGCCCUGCCCCCGGCAAGAUGCUUUCUGGGUGAGCUCUGGGGACCAGCCCUUUCGUGACUGGGGAAUAGGAUGGAAGGAAGCCACUGUGGCAGAGGGACAGGCACAGGGUUGGGACCUAAAGGCAGUUACCCCAUCUCCUCACCUCAUUUGCCAAUUCCAUUCAGACAUUGCACAAUUUGAAAAUAGAUUUGCUUUUUUUAAACAAAAGCAUAAAAUAGAUGUCUUAAAAUAAGUCUUUCCUCUCCCCUUCUUUGGAUCAAAAAGGCAAGGGGUAUGGUCUUGAUAUGCUAGGAAUGAUGUGGAAAAUAAGGGAGAGAAAAACAGGCCUGGGCAGGAACUGUAGGAAAAGAUCAGACAUCCAAACAAAUAUAUUACAUAUAUAGAUCUAUAAUAUGUAUAAUCUCCAUAAAACAUAUAUUAAGGCAUGUAAAGCAACAUAAAGAGCCAGCUUUAUGAAAUAAGAGAUGAGAGAGAGGUGGCAGAGGCGCAGACAUUAUUUCUUGGUAUUUUACAUGUAUUUCUAAAAAAUAUUACUUUAAAAAAAAAAAAAGAGACGGACAAAGUGGCAGGCAUGGAAGGCCCUGAAAAAUCUGUUUCCUGUGGAGGGAGAAAGGCUUGGGAGAAAGAGAGAGAGAGGAAAUGACCUGGGAGCCAAUCCCACCUGCCAGUCUGCAGGGGAGAAAGGGCAGGUUUGGGGUGCUUGAACUGUGAAGAUGGGAAAUACAGCCAAGGGUCACGUUUAAAAAACCUGCUAGAAGUGAAGAUCGGUGGAAUCCUCCCAGGCUGUAAUCCCUCAGAAACAUGAGAAUAUCCUAAGCACCUACAACAGUGCCUGGUACAUAAAAGGUGCUCGAUAAAUAUUUGUUGAGUAAAUUGUCAUCUUUACUUGCAUAUGAACCAGUAACUGUCCCAGCCAUGAAGGAGUGCAGAGGAA